UGUCACUCUGAUGUCGAAUGAAAAAAAGAA
rnacentral:piRNA from 1 species